CAACGAGCGCAACCCCUGUCCUUUGUUGCCAGCACGUAAUGGUGGGAACUCAAGGGAGACUGCCGGUGAUAAACCGGAGGAAGGUGGGGAUGACGUCAAGUCAUCAUGGCCCUUACGGCCAGGGCUACACACGUGCUACAAUGGCGCGUACAGAGGGCUGCAAGCUAGCGAUAGUGAGCGAAUCCCAAAAAGCGCGUCGUAGUCCGGAUCGGAGUCUGCAACUCGACUCCGUGAAGUCGGAAUCGCUAGUAAUCGCAAAUCAGAAUGUUGCGGUGAAUACGUUCCCGGGCCUUGUACACACCGCCCGUCACAACCAUGGGAGUGGGUUGCACCAGAAGUAGAUAGCUAA
rnacentral:rRNA from 1 species